rnacentral:sRNA from 1 species
GCUGGGAGUGGUGGCACACUCCUGUAAUCCUAGCAACUCAGGAGGCUGAAGCAGGAUCAUUGCCAGUUGUAGGGCACCCUCUCCGAUUUAGUGAUACCUUAAAUAACUUAGUGAGACCCUGUCUCAA